AAGUAACAAUUAGCGUAUACAUCUAUAUAUAUGUUUGUUCAUGAAUCACAAUGUUCUCUGGUCAGAUGUUGACAUGCUAUGUUGUUAGACUGCGAAUUUAGACAAAAUAUUCAUUAACCAAGAUUUUACGGGAUCAAUGAUUAAGUAUUAUGCUCCAUUUUGAUGAAGGGAUGCCAAAUCUAUGAAUUUAGAUGACAUUAUGAGGUAUAAAUAUUUGUCUUAAGACUAUUACAAUCUAUGUAUGUCAAGAUUUGAACAAGAUAAAAAAAAAACAAAAAAACAAAUGAAUUUCAAAUGAUUCCUCGUACAUAAUCAUUCCAAAUGAACUAUAUCUAGUUAUUUCAAAUACAUUCAAUUUAACAUUGUUCUUGUACUUUGUUGUCAAAACCGAAUCAUUUCUUUCUAAUUCCUCCAUCCAAAUCCAAAUGGAGCAUUAAUGUCUUAAUUUUAGAAUUUCUGUUUGUGUUAAGAAAAAGAAAUUGAUUUUCUAUUCUGUUCUAUAUAAUCUUAGAUGGUGUUGAGUAAACAAGCUAGAGAAAUUAAAAACAAUCCUCCAAAGAGAGAGAGAGAGAGAGAGAGAGAGAGAGAGAGAGAGAGAGUGUGUGUGUGGGUGACCCACCAAGCAUAUACAAUUUGGAGGAUUAGAGUUGGUGAGAGUGGAAUGUACCAACUCAUGGGUGGGAGGAGAACUGGUUUUAGGAGAUGGUUUUCCCAUGGUGGUAUAUGAAUACUUUGAGCUUUGAGGUGGUGUCAUUAAUUGGUAUACACUUACUAUAAAAUGAGUGGGCAACAAGUUUACUUCAUGAGGAAAGGGACUUGAAAAUGGGAAAUUAUUUGUUAUUUAGGGAUAUAAUUGCAAACUAAGCAAAAUGUAUUUACAUCCUUAUACUACUAAAAUAUGCGAAAAGAAAUAAAAUGAUGGUUCUUAG